rnacentral:sRNA from 1 species
UCAAGUUCUGGUCAUCGGCACGUAGC